UCUUAGGGACAAAAAUAUUGACAAUUUGACCUCAAAUCAGGUAGGACUACCCGCUGAACUUAAGCAUAUCAAUAAGCGGAGGAAAAGAAACUAACAAGGAUUCCCCUAGUAACUGCGAGUGAAGCGGGAAAAGCUCAAAUUUAAANUCUGGUAGUCUUUGGCUGCCCGAGUUGUAAUCUAGAGAAGUGUUAUCCGCGCUGGACCGUGUACAAGUCUCCUGGAAUGGAGCGUCAUAGAGGGUGAGAAUCCCGUCUUUGACACGGACUGCCAGGGCUUUGUGAUGCGCUCUCAAAGAGUCGAGUUGUUUGGGAAUGCAGCUCUAAAUGGGUGGUAAAUUCCAUCUAAAGCUAAAUAUUGGCGAGAGACCGAUAGCGAACAAGUACCGUGAGGGAAAGAUGAAAAGAACUUUGGAAAGAGAGUUAAACAGUACGUGAAAUUGUUGAAAGGGAAACGCUUGAAGUCAGUCGCGUUGGCCGGGGAUCAACCUUGCUUUUCUGCUUGGUGUACUUCCUGGUUGAUGGGUCAGCAUCAAUUUUGACCAGUGGAAAAAGGUCAGGGGAAUGUGGCAUCUUCGGAUGUGUUAUAGCCCUUGGUUGCAUACAUUGGUUGGGAUUGAGGAACUCAGCACGCCGCAAGGCCGGGUUUUUACCACGUUCGUGCUUAGGAUGCUGGCAUAAUGGCUUUAAUCGACC
rnacentral:rRNA from 1 species